ACCUCUGUGGCUGAGUGGUCAACAGCACUGACUCUCAAUCUGGAGGUGCUGGGUUCGAAUCCCGGUUGGGGCA
rfam:Asian citrus Psyllid, Diaphorina citri - Florida Strain, whole genome shotgun sequence.